rnacentral:lncRNA from 1 species
AUGCUUAAUGAGCCCCUCUUGGAUGCUACUCUUUCUUGAGUCAGCCAAGGAGAGAAGUCUGGCUCCAAACAAUUCGGUCUGCAAAGAGAUGGAUGAGCCAUUUCUUCAGCUAUAUGUAGAUCACCUGAAAUUGAAACCUGAGUGUUCUGUCUCUUAAUUUGCGGGUCACAGAAUCCCACUAAGAAUUGGAAGGACCUUAGCAGUCAUUGCAUGGUGCUCCUCAGUAAUACACAAAUUCUAUAAUAACUGUUCAAAUACCUCUGGGGACUUGUCAGGCAAGUGUGUUGCUCCCUUCCAGAAAUAUAAGGAAGCAAAGUUCUCUUUCUAGUCAAGCCAAAUACAGAAGAUGCCCCAUUGGAAUCUGAAUCUUGCUAUUUGACAGUGAUGAUGCUGAUGAACCGGUACUCCAAGCUAAACCAGUAUUUGUACUGCAGAUACUACUUGCAUGUAUUUCUCAAGCUAUAAUUUGCUUCUUAGGCUGCACUCCGAAAAACUAAUUUCUGCCUGCAAAAAGAAACCUAAGUAUCUUCACCCCCAACUUCUGAUAUUGAUACACUGAUUUUUAAGCUCACUAUGUGGCAUUUAAGUCUGUUACAGACUUAUCUUUCCAGCCU